rnacentral:rRNA from 1 species
AGAGUUUGAUCCUGGCUCAGGGUUAACGCUGGCGGCGUGCCUAACACAUGCAAGUCGAACGGUUCUAAGCGCGAGCUUAGGAUAGUGGCGAACGGGUGAGUAAAAGGUAGGAAUCUACCCCUUGGACGGAGAUAGCUACUGGAAACGGUAGGUAAACUUCGAUAAGCCCGAGAGGGGAAAGUGGUGAGACAGCCGAGGGAUGAGCCUACUCUCCAUCAGGUAGUUGGUGAGAUAAAAGCUUACCAAGCCGAUGACGGAUAACCGGUGUGAGAGCAUGAACGGUCACAAGGGCACUGAGAGACGGGCCCUACUCCUACGGGAGGCAGCAGUGGGGAAUCUUGGACAAUGGGCGAAAGCCUGAUCCAGCGACGCCGCGUGGAGGAAGAAGUCCUUCGGGAUGUAAGCUUCUGAACUAGCCGAAUAAAAGGCCUGUGGACACACAGGAGAAGAAAGUAGGCUAGGAAAAGUCCCGGCUAACUACGUGCCAGCAGCCGCGGUAAGACGUAGGGGGCAAGCGUUACCCGGAAUUACUGGGCGUAAAGGGGGCGUAGGCGGUAAAAGAAGUCAUCUGUGAAAACCUAUUGCUCAACGAUAGGCUAGCGGAUGAAACUGAAUUACUUGAGGGCACCAGAGGUAGACGGAAUUACCCGAGUAGGGGUGAAAUCCGCAGAUACGGGUAGGAACGCCGGUGGAGAAGUCGGUCUACUGGGGUGCACCAGACGCUGAGGCCCGAAAGCUAGGGGAGCAAACCGGAUUAGAUACCCGGGUAGUCCUAGCCGUAAACGAUGCUCACUAGGUGUAGGGAGUGAUAAACUCUCUGUGCUGAAGCGAACGCGCUAAGUGAGCCGCCUGGGGAGUACGUCCGCAAGGAUGAAACUCAAAGGAAUUGACGGGGGUCCGCACAAGCGGUGGAGCAUGUGGUUUAAUUCGAUGGUAACCGGAGAACCUUACCAGGGAUUGACAUGUAACUGAAGGUAGAGAAAUCUACUGGCCUGCUGCAAAGCGGGAGGUUACACAGGUGGUGCACGGCCGUCGUCAGCUCGUGCCGUGAGGUGUUGGGUUAAGUCCCGCAACGAGCGCAACCC